UAGUAGCUGGUUCCCUCCGA
rnacentral:ncRNA from 3 species